CCUACGGGAGGCAGCAGUGAGGAAUAUUGGACAAUGGGCGGACGCCUGAACCAGCCAAGUCGCGUGAAGGAAGACUGCCCUAUGGGUUGUAAACCUCGUUUGUCAGGGAGCAAUUGGCGCAACGUGUAGCGUUAUCGAGAGUACCUGAAGAAAAAGCAACGGCUAACUCCGUGCCAGCAGCCGGGGUAAUACGGAGGAGGCGAGCGUUAUCCGGAUUUAUUGGGUUUAAGGGAUGCGUAGGCGGGAUGCAAAGUCAGCGGUAAAAUCACGGGGCUCAACCCCGCUCCGCCGUUGAAACUGGCGUUCUUGAGUUGGCGAGAAGUAUGCGGAAUGUGUGGUGUAGCGGUGAAAUGCAUAGAUAUCACGCAGAACUCCGAUUGCGAAGGCAGCAUACCGGCGCCCAACUGACGCUGAGGCACGAAAGCGUGGGUAUCGAACAGGAUUAGAUACCCUUGUAGUC
rnacentral:rRNA from 1 species